rnacentral:misc_RNA from 1 species
AUGGAAAAUACUUACAUUGUAUGUGAAGGGUUGUAGCUGGCCUCUCUUGAGGAAUUGUGCACACCUGGAUCAUCAUGUAAACAACCAUUUAAUACUUUUCUUACCCUUGUGCACAACCUGUAGCUUAACCAUUUGAACAAAAUUGGUUGAGUUAUGAAUGCAUUUUUAAUUAUACACUUGACAUUGUAACAAUCAAAUAAAUAUAAUA